GUACUCACUUUGACGGUGCGUGUACUGAAACUGGAAGGAUACAGAAUAGACUAGCAUGGACCCUGAGCAAAGAUGACAUGAAAAAAAGUUAGCAGAUCAUUUGCCUA